ACUCGUGUUUGCGCUGCUGUGCUUCUCAUGCAGUUUGUGUAGCAAUCUGGGCUGGGCACACGGUGCUUUGGGGUUUUGGGCUUGGUCAAAUGAGAAACUGACAAUUUAGCAAAGGAAGUUACAGGAAGAAGCAACUCUAGCGCGUCUGCUGUAUCUCGUUAUCUUACGCACACUCUGUGGAGUUACAUUAUAAAAAGUUGCUUGAUAUCUGGAGACGAUCUGCACAGCUGGUUCAGCAUGGCCAAUUGUUCUUGUAUUCUGUGGUGCAUAUUUUGGUUGGUGGUCCUGAUUUUUCUGGCCUGGCCUCUCAGUAUCUUCUUUGGAGCUUUGUAUGGGUUCCUGGCCCCUCUUACAACUUGUGUGGGGCUAGACAAACUGACAGACCUUCUGCUACAGGGAGUGAACCUGGGCAGGACCUGUGCAGAAAAUGCCCGUGUGGGAAAAAAUUUGUGCUGAGCUGAAUGGAGCUAAAAAAAUGGAAUGCCCCAUCAUAACAACAUUUGGAUUCUUACACCAUUGCUCUGAUAUAUAGGCAAAAGACUUUGGAGAUUUCUCACACUAGAGCUACAUAACCAACAUAAGUCUGCUGUUCAGGAGGAAUCAAAGGAACAUAUAUCCUACAAGCUCACAGAGGCCUUAUUCUACCUGAUGUCAGAUUUCAAAUAUCCCUUUAUACAGUCCAUAAUGUUCAUAAUAGAAAAACAAUAAAUAUUCAAAUAUUACAAA